AUUGAACGCUGGCGGCAGGCCUAACACAUGCAAGUCGAACGGAGUGGCGGACGGGUGAGUAAUGCCUAGGAAUCUGCCUGGUAGUGGGGGAUAACGUCCGGAAACGGGCGCUAAUACCGCAUACUAUCAGAUGAGCCUAGGUCGGAUUAGCUCGUUGGUGGGGUAAAGGCCUACCAAGGCGACGAUCCGUAACUGGUCUGAGAGGAUGAUCAGUCACACUGGAACUGAGACACGGUCCAGACUCCUACGGGAGGAAGCAGUGGGGAAUAUGGGAAAAUGGGCGAAAGCCUGAUCCAGCCAUGCCGGGUGUGGGAAGAAGGUCUUCGGAUGGUAAAGCACUUUCAGCGGGGAGGCGUUACCCGCAGAAGAAGCACCGGCUAACUCCGUGCCAGCAGCCGCGGUAAUAC
rnacentral:rRNA from 1 species